rnacentral:tRNA from 1 species
UCCCUGGUGUUUCAGUGGUUAGGACUCUACACUUUCACUGCAGAAGACCAAGAUUCAAUCUCUGGUUGGGGAA